rnacentral:rRNA from 1 species
CGGUAACAUUUCUAGCUUGCUAGAAGAUGACGAGUGGCGGACGGGUGAGUAAUACUUAGGAAUAUGCCUUUGUGUGGGGGAUAACUAUUGGAAACGAUAGCUAAUACCGCAUAACGUCUUCGGACCAAAGGGGGCUUCGGCUCCCGCGCAAAGAGUAGCCUAAGCGAGAUUAGCUUGUUGGUGAGGUAAAGGCUCACCAAGGCGACGAUCUCUAGCUGUUCUGAGAGGAAGAUCAGCCACACUGGGACUGAGACACGGCCCAGACUCCUACGGGAGGCAGCAGUGGGGAAUAUUGCACAAUGGGGGCAACCCUGAUGCAGCCAUGCCGCGUGUGUGAAGAAGGCCUUCGGGUUGUAAAGCACUUUCAGUUGUGAGGAAAGGUUGAUGGUUAAUACCCAUCAGCUGUGACGUUAGCAACAGAAGAAGCACCGGCUAACUCCGUGCCAGCAGCCGCGGUAAUACGGAGGGUGCGAGCGUUAAUCGGAAUUACUGGGCGUAAAGCGCACGCAGGCGGUUAUAUAAGCUAGAUGUGAAAGCCCCGGGCUCAACCUGGGAAUAGCAUUUAGAACUGUAUGACUAGAGUCUUGGAGAGGGGAGUGGAAUUCCAGGUGUAGCG